ACAUUGGUGGUUCAGUGGUAGAAUUCUCACCUUCCACAUGGGAGACCUGGCUUCCAUUCCCAGCCUGUGCA
rnacentral:tRNA from 1 species